UACGAGCGGCGCAAACGUUAUUCGGAAUUACUGGGCUUAAAGAGUUCGUAGGCGGCGCAGAAAGUAGGGUGUGAAAGCCCUCGGCUCAACCGAGGAAUUGCGCUCUAAACUACUGUGCUUGAGGGACCUAGAGGUGAGCGGAACUGAUGGUGGAGCGGUGAAAUGCGUUGAUAUCAUCAGGAACACCGGAGGCGAAGGCGGCUCACUGGGGGUCUUCUGACGCUGAGGAACGAAAGCCAGGGGAGCGAACGGG
rnacentral:rRNA from 1 species